UUGCAUAUUCCCAAAAGCGGAGGAAAGGAAACUAACAAGGAUUCCCCUAGUAGCGGCGAGCGAAGCGGGAAGAGCUCAAAUUUGUAAUCUGGCACCUUCGGUGUCCGAGUUGUAAUCUCUAGAAGUGUUUUCCGCGUUGGACCGCACACAAGUCUGUUGGAAUACAGCGGCAUAGUGGUGAUACCCCAUUACACGGUGCGGACGCCCAGCGCUUUGUGAUACACUUUCGACGAGUCGAGUUGUUUGGGAAUGCAGCUCAAAUUGGGUGGUAAAUUCCAUCUAAAGCUAAAUAUUGGCGAGAGACCGAUAGCGAACAAGUACCGUGAGGGAAAGAUGAAAAGCACUUUGGAAAGAGAGUUAAAAGUACGUGAAAUUGUUGGAAGGGAAACGCUUGAAGUCAGACUUGCUUGCCGGGCUUGCUCGGUUUGCAGGCCAGCAUCAGUUUUCCGGGGCGGAUAAUGGCAGUUAGAAUGUAGCAGUCUCGGCUGUGUUAUAGCUUUCUGCUGGAUACGUCCUGGGGGACUGAGGAACGCAGCGUGCCGUAUGGCGAGGGCUUCGGUCCUUUCACGCUUAGGAUGCUGGUGGAAUGGCUUUAAACGACCCGUCUUGAACCAACGGACCA
rnacentral:rRNA from 1 species